rnacentral:rRNA from 1 species
AUGCACUAUAAACAAUCUCCCGUGCCCAUUGGUAGCGAAACCCUAGAAUUGAAUCGAGGCACCGGUGGCGGCAGCGGCGGCGAGCGAGCGAGCGAAAAAGAAAUCGAGGAUAAGGCGAGGGAAGAGGCAAUCAUGUCCCUCCGACGGGCCGUCGGUUUCCUCCUCACACGGAGGCUCUCGUCGCGGGUGAUCCCAAGGACGGCUCCUGCACGCUCUUUCCACUCCUUGAAGGAUCUCCCCAUCGGCGGCGCUGCUGGUGUGGCCGCGGCUGCGUUUGCUGGUGUCGGAGCCUUGGCGGCAGUUCAGUAUUUCAGGAAAGGCUCAGAUGAUGAUGAGCCAGCUACUCGCAAGAAAGGGGAGUUCAUCUAUAUAUAUAAAGAGGAGGAGAUGGAAGAGUUGUUUGAGAAUUGGAUCAAGGAGUUCAACAAGACAUACCGAGACAAGAAAGAGAAGGCUAUGCGGUUCCAAGUGUUCAAGGAAACCAUGAAGUGGAUCGAAUCACAGCCCCCAUCUUCCCAUAAGUCUUUGUUUCCAGGAAACUGUUUUGCAGACUUAAAAAGCGAGGAGCUUCCGUGCAGCCAGUCCUGUAUCCAUGGUUUAGAUGACCCAAACAGCGAAGAGUACCGCGAGAACAAGUUUGUCACUGAGAAUGUGAAAGGAGAAGCAAUCAUAUGGAAGCCAGCCGUGAAGCAGGGCCACAAGCAGGCAACUCAAGUCUCUGCCUACAAACGAUAUCCGGUGCAACUUUUCUUAGCUCCUAGUGUGUCCAAUGAUCAUAAUGAUUAUUGCUGA